rnacentral:rRNA from 1 species
GUAGGGAAUCUUCCACAAUGGACGAAAGUCUGAUGGAGCAACGCCGCGUGAGUGAAGAAGGUCUUCGGAUCGUAAAACUCUGUUGUUAGAGAAGAACGUGCAUGAUAGUAACUGAUCAUGUAAUGACGGUAUCUAACCAGAAAGCCACGGCUAACUACGUGCCAGCAGCCGCGGUAAUACGUAGGUGGCAAGCGUUGUCCGGAUUUAUUGGGCGUAAAGGGAACGCAGGCGGUUUUUUAAGUCUGAUGUGAAAGCCUUCGGCUUAACCGAAGAAUAGCAUUGGAAACUGGAAGACUUGAGUGCAGAAGAGGAGAGUGGAAUUCCAUGUGUAGCGGUGAAAUGCGUAGAUAUCGGGAGGAACACCAGUGGCGAAGGCGGGUUCCUGGCCCAUGACUGACGCUGAGGUGCGAAAGCCGGGGGAGCGAACGGGAUUAGAUACCCUUGUAGUCC